UCUCCGUAGGUGAACCUGCGGAGGGAUCAUUACAGAGUUCAUGCCCCUCCGGGUAGAUCUCCCACCCUGUGUUAUCGUCACCUUUGUUGCUUUGGCGGGCCGCCCAGGCCUUGACCCGGCUACCGGCUCCGGCUGGUACGCGCCCGCCAGAGGACCCUAAACUCUUGAAUAUCAGUGUCGUCUGAGUACUAUGUAAUAGUUAAAACUUUCAACAACGGAUCUCUUGGUUCUG
rnacentral:misc_RNA from 1 species